CUAAUUCGGCAGUUGCUGGCUAUAAAAUGUUAGAGGAAAGUCCAUGCUCGCACGAUCUGUGAUGAUCGUAGUGUUUGUGCUGGAUGAACAAAUAAGUCCAGGCAUAGAAAUAUGACGGCUGGCUUGACUCCUUAGAUCUUUUGAUGAUGGAAGAAAGCCUUUAAAAGUGCCACAGAGACGAGUCCGUAUGGAAACAUACGGGGUGGAACGGGUAAACCCCGCAAGCGAGAAACCCAAAUUUGGUAGGGGAACUGAUCAAGGCCAAUUAAGAAGCCGAGAUCGGAUGCGUUAACGCAUAGAUAAAUAACUGCCACUGGGAAACCAGAACAGAACAUGGCUUAUGAAU
rnacentral:RNase_P_RNA from 2 species